rnacentral:tRNA from 1 species
GUCCUGGUAGCUCAGGGGAUAGAGCGCAUGCCUGCGGAGCAUGAGGUCGCUGGUUCAAUUCCAGCCCAGGACG